rnacentral:lncRNA from 1 species
GUAUGGAGUGCGAAUUAUACACGAUUUUGAUGCUAUUUGAGGUUUUGUGAAAAACCCACUUGUAGAAGUAAUGUUAUGAAGAUGAUGAUGUUGCAUGUGCUAAACCAAAUAUAGUUUUGAUAUAUAUGAAGUUGGAUAUUGUGGAUUAUUGUUAAUGACCUUGAUCUAGGAUGAAAGUUAGGUGAGGUUAGGGGAAUUUGAUGAUCUUGAUAUGAACUAGUAAGAAUAUGCAAAGAAUGCUUGUACAUAAUGUUUUGUUAGUAGUACACCCGCCAAGUGUUCGAUGAAAUGCCUAAGAGAGCAAAAUUGUGAAAUUGUAUGAAAGUUGUGGGUAAGUAUGUAUAGAAGGUGCUUAUGGUGUAGCCGUUAGCAAAAUAAUAAGUUAAGUGUGCUUAAGGUGGAGUCCAUAUGAGAAUUCGGAUUUGAAUGUAUGGUUUGGUAAAAUUAUGCAUUAGGAACUUGUACCUUAUGCUUCAAUGGUGUGAUGCUCGCCAUGUAAUUGAUGCGCUUGAUUUAUGGUGAUUAAGAGUGAAUGUGUACGAAUGUGAAAUGAAUAGUUUAUUGAUAAGUGAUAAUGUUGGAGUUAUGUCGUGUACGUAUGUAAGAUGAUAAUUUUGAUUAAGUGAAUGUUGAACAAUGCGGUUGUCGAAUGUAGAGUUAUGAAAGCAUAAGUAUGUGUAAAUUGGUUGUGUAUAUUGUGUAUGUGACUAGGUGAUCAUGUAGUUGUAUGUGUUAUACAACAUUAUGUAUGAAAUUAAUAUGAUGUCAUUAAUAUGGUCUAUUAUAUCAACAUAAAUGCGUGUUCGAAAUUGGAAGUUAUAUGCUAGAAGGUUAACUUUCUGAAAGUCAACAGAGAAUUUAUAGCAUGGUUAGGCAUUUUGACACAAAUAUAAGAAUCGAGAGAUCAUGGAAUAUGUGUUAGAUCAAUUAUGUGUUAUGUGUGAUAACGAAUUUGGAUUUCAAAAAUAUUGAACUAUGUGGUUGACAAAUCAUGUCGUAUGCGUGUUAGUGAAAGUCAAUGUAGAUAAGAGUUGGAAAAUGUGUGUUAAUAUGAAUGAGCAUGAAUACUAACAUUAUUAUGGCAUGACGGCAUGAAAGAAUAGGAACCACACUAGCAUGGACCAAGCAUGGAAGGCUAACGGGACAAGACGAGGCAAGGAAGCGGGUAUGAACACGAAUGCACAAGGAAUGAAUUGUAUGAUGUCAAUGAAGUAUUAAACGGAUCUUAGUUUUGCUCCGAGCAAGGUAGGUAUGAUUAAGAAAUUAUAGCUAAGUAGUGGAAUUGGUUACUUAUGUAAGGAAUUCCUUUGUUAUUAAGGAUAGAGCAUAGUUGACUAAAAUGCCCUUGAUAGGUAUAUCUGGCAAACGACCUUAGAAGUCGUUUGGAAACGAGCUAUUCGAUUAGAGUAAUGUCUUGGACAAGUAUGAAAGCGAAGUAUAGGGUUUUGUAUGUCAUAGUCCACUUAGUGCGCAAAUACCCAUAACGGGUCAAAAAUAAGCUUUUGAGCGAAAAUGGGUUAAGAGGAUGCAAGACGUCCGAGAAUUUAAUCUUUUAUGAUAGGUGCCAAUGAAAUUAUUAAAGUUCAUAUGAGAUUGAGGUCAAAUAAACAGAUUAUGUUGAUAAAUGCACGAACGGGUCAAAUAGUUAGAAAAUGAUAAUAUGUCGAAUGCACGUAAGUUAAGAAUUUCCUUAAUCCGGAGGUAGGAUUUUAAGUUAAUAUGAUAGAAUGUGAAUUUACAAGCAUGUAGGAAGAAACGGGAGGUUAAACGGGUAAACGGUUCAAAAGUUAUGCGCGUUUUAGUGCGUACGGACGACGAAACGGAACUGCAGAAACCUGCAAAUUCUAGAGGGCGUCGCCGACGGGUAUGGGGGCGUCGCUGACGGGCUCCAGAAAGUGAAUUUUUGGCUGACGGGUUAUUUGACUGUCUACGGGGAUUUUUGGCUACGGGUAAUUGCAAGGGCCGUCGCCGACGACCCUAGGGCCGUCGCCGACGACCCUAGGGCCGUCGCCGACGCCCUCCCCAAGUUCAAAAACCUAAAAAUUUGUUAUUUAAGUUGAUUUAUGUAUCGUAGGCUUCGGUUUGUUAUCCGUGGACUACGGUGGACUUUCCAAACAUGAUUUUGAUGGUUCCUUAGAUGUCUAUGGGCUAUAAAUCUAAGUCUAAGUCCCAUGUAAAUAUUGUAUGAUUAUAUAAGGAUGUAGGAAAGAUAUGUACGUAUGUGGUUGUGUAUGUAUGUAUGUGUAAAGACAUGUAUGAGUGUAUGCACGUAUGUAAAGUUGUAAGAAAGGUAUGUAUGUAUGUAGAGGAGUAUGUAUGCAUGUAAGAUGGUACGUGUGCAUGAUUUAAAUACGUAGAGUUUUAACGUUACUAAUUAUGCGUUUGAGGUUGGUAUGUAAUGCAGGAACGAGUACAUCGGAUUCUUACGGAAUUUAAGCCCAACCCGGAAUAAGAGGAUGAGUAAGGAUAGUUGGAUGAACUAAUGUUAAAUUGUCAAACGUUAUUCAAUCCUUAAUUAUAUGAGAUUAAUGAUAUAUGAUGUUGUCGUUGACUAAUGGCUAAGUUGUAUGUGAUGCCCACAGGUGAUACACGGACUUCUUCUGCUACUUAGGAAGUGAAGCGGACGUAGAUCGAGUCAAGAGCAAGGAUUGCACGGAUAGAUCGAUCAUAUAGUUGAAAUAUAUAACGUCUAGAAAUGUAAAUUUUAGUAUGAAUGUUGUGAAUUCUUUUAUAGAACGUUUAACAUUUUAGCUUUUGGGAACCUUCUCGAAAGUAAUGUCGUUAAUAAGGAAAGAAAUUUUAA